rnacentral:rRNA from 1 species
UACGUAGGGUGCAAGCGUUGUCCGGAAUUAUUGGGCGUAAAGAGCUCGUAGGCGGUCUGUCGCGUCGGCUGUGAAAAUCCGGGGCUCAACCCCGGGCCUGCAGUCGAUACGGGCAGACUAGAGUGCGGUAGGGGAGACUGGAAUUCCUGGUGUAGCGGUGAAAUGCGCAGAUAUCAGGAGGAACACCGGUGGCGAAGGCGGGUCUCUGGGCCGUAACUGACGCUGAGGAGCGAAAGCGUGGGGAGCGAACAGG